rnacentral:misc_RNA from 1 species
AAGUCGUAACAAGGUUUCCGUAGGUGAACCUGCGGAAGGAUCAUUAUCCUAUUGCGUAGAGCUCUUCUGAGCACUACAAGCGCUACACUCUAUAGUGUUGCGUUACAAUGCACAGUGAGCGGGCCUCGUUCCGUUCACUUGAAAUCCGUGCUCGCUCGAGUCCGGUCGGGUACCUAAGUGUGCGCAAGCACACACAAGCAGCAGAUGCUCGUCUGCUGUGUGGUGUAAAGAUUAUUCUCGCCGAAGAAUAACGCCCGCUUAGCGCAGUCAUUUCUACUACAAACUUAUAUCGCAUUUAACUAUGUUGUAUGUGUAAAACACUGUCUCACUUACUUACGAGCGAGAUAUUAACACAAAUACAACCCUAUGCGGUGGAUCAUUUGGCUC